AAGGAUUUAUUAUAAAAAGUAUGUUUAAUUGCAAAUUAAAUAGUAAAAUUCUUU
rnacentral:tRNA from 1 species